rnacentral:rRNA from 1 species
UAAGAUUUAGUGGCGGACGGGUGAGUAACACGUUGGUACCUACCCUCUAGUGGGGGAAUAACUUCGAGAAAUCGAGGCUAAUACCGCAUAAUAUCUACGGGAUUAAAGCUUUAUGCGCUAGAGGAGGGGCCUGCGUCUGAUUAGCUUGUUGGUGAGGUAAAAGCUCACCAAGGCGACGAUCAGUAGCUGGAUCGAGAGGUUGACCAGCCACACUGGGACUGAGAUACGGCCCAGACUCCUACGGGAGGCAGCAGUAAGGAAUCUUCCACAAUGGGCGAAAGCCUGAUGGAGCAAUGCCGCGUGCAGGAUGACGGCCUUCGGGUUGUAAACUGCUUUUAUAUGGGAAGAUUAUGACGGUACCAUAUGAAUAAGGACCGGCUAACUACGUG